UCCCUUGUGGCUCAGACGGUAAAGUAUCUGCCUGCAAUGCAGGAGACCCAGAUUCAAUUCCUGGGUCAGGAA
rnacentral:tRNA from 1 species